GGCCCAGUGGGCAAACUGGUAGAGCCGCUCGCCUCAAAACCGAGAGAAGUUGCCGGUUCGACUCCGGCCUGGGCCA
rnacentral:tRNA from 1 species